CGAGAGACUCCGGCCUCCAUCGUCCGGCCAACGCUCGGCGGCGCCAGCGCUGAAACAAUCUCCUCCGUCUUAGUCGUCGAAAAGGCCCGGAUACCUUGUCAGCCGGCCAUUGCCCUCGCGAUCCCGGGCAUCGACUGGUGCUGCAUCUGGGACUGAUGAGGCUCAUGCCCAGGAAGCGCCACCGGCCGGCAGCGCCCUCGCCGGAGAACUCGACAUGAUGGAUUGAUUUCUUCAUUCUGUAAAAAGAAGUGCUCAUCGCGCCAGCAAGAUGAGUAUUCGCAAAGUGGUGCUGGACUACGACCGGGUCUCGACCUUCCAGAGGACAUAUAUCGACAUAUACAUGCCCUAAUGCCAUUACGAGAUGCUGCUCGUGCGGCUUGUGUGUCGCACACAUUUCUGCAAUCAUGGAGAUGCUGUCGCAACCCUUACCUUAAGUAAGGAAACACUAGGUUUGAAUGGAAAAGGUAUUGCUAAAGAUGAAAUGGCAAGAGAUCUCAUCAUUAAAGUUGAUGGUAUUCUUAAGAAUCACUCGGGUGUUGGCAUGAAGAAACUAGAGCUUAAUCUCCACUGUUGCAGCAAGGUUGAUCGCUGUUAUCUCAAUAGUUGGCUUCGCAUUGCUUUCAGAGUAGGGAUUGAAGAGCUCACCAUGUUGUUGUGUCCUGUGACCUGUCAGUGAGGCAGAAUACAACUUCCCGUGCUCUCUUUUAUUCAGUGGGAGUAAAAAAUCAAUACGGUAUCUUGAGCUCUCCAGCUGUGUCUUUCGUCCCACAGCUGAGCUUGAUUGCUGAUCACGGGCGAUGAGGUAGAGUGCCUUCUUUCCAAUUCUUCCAUGCUGGAGUUACUGUGGCUCUUUAGAUGCAAUGAGAUUGUUCGUGUGAAGAUACCUUGUCAGCUCCAGCGGCUCAGCUUCCUGCGAGCGGGUCAAUGCAGAAAGCUCCAGGAGAUAGAGAGCAACGCUCCAAAUAUCUCGACUUUUGACAUCAGUGGCAGUAACUUGGUAAAGAUUUCAUUUGGAGGCGCAUUGCAAGUAAAAAACAUGAGGAUAAUGUGUUCAUAUCAGCCAAACAUUAUCUGGUACACUCGGAUCAGGCUCAUGCCAUCUGUAAUGAAUGUUGAAACGCUUUGAAUAUCCUCGUAUAAUGAGGUAUAUUCUAAACGUUGUGAUGAUCAUAGGGUAGUUAUUUGCAUAUAACAGCUUUCAUACGUGAUAUGAUUAAUCCGAGACAUCUUUAUGCAGAUGAUUAGUACACCAACACUAUGUAGCAAAUUCCUGUACCUCAAAUACUUGCACAUUACUCUAAUUGGAAACGAGGCUAUUUCACCGGCCUAUGAUUACCUUUCUCUGGUUUCUUUUCUUGUAGCUUUUCCUUACUUGGAGACUUCCAUCUUUAAAGUAAGUUACUAAUCACCUUGCAAGCAUACCUAGUGCCUAUGACAGAACAAGUGAAAUGGUCAUCUUGACUUUCUACUGUAGG